GACGUAGGGCGCGAGCGUUGUCCGGAAUUACUGGGCGUAAAGGGCGCGUAGGCGGCCUUCUAAGUCGAACGUGAAAUCCCCGGGCUCAACCCGGGAACUGCGUCCGAUACUGGGAGGCUUGAAUCCGGGAGAGGGAUGCGGAAUUCCAGGUGUAGCGGUGAAAUGCGUAGAUAUCUGGAGGAACACCGAUGGCGAAGGCAAUCCCCUGGGCCUGCACUGACGCUCAUGCACGAAAGCGUGGGGAGCAAACAGG
rnacentral:rRNA from 1 species